ACGUAUGACCCUGCUCACAGAAGUUUUUUUCCACCUGGUGCCACAGUAAGAGUCAUAUGUGGAGAGAAGUAUGGGAUUACUACCCGUCACGACCCCUCAGCAGUGUCUACUUGCCAAGACAACGGACAGUGGGACAUCAGACCGAUAUGCCACGAGGUUACAUGCUCCAAUCAAAAACACCGAGAUGUGUAUGACUGGAAUGUCUAUUGGAGACAGAGAAUAACAUUGAGUGACACUGCAAGCUAUAGGUGUAGGUCAGGGUACAAGAAAACAGAUGGCGCUGAUAAGCUCACAUGCACCAGAGAUGGGUGGAGUCCAGAUCCACCUUGUCAAGAGAUCACAUGUGAUAAACCUGAGAUUGAAAAUGGUUAUGUGAUUGGAGAAAUCCAAACGUACAAGGAAAAUGACAUCUUGGAUUUUGCAUGCAAUCCUAAAUAUAAACCCAGUGAAGAAAGAAAUUCAAAAUGCAUAAAAC